rnacentral:piRNA from 1 species
UAAAAAAAUAUUGUGAUAAGG